UAAAAUGACUGAAAAUUAAAAACUUCGCAAAGCUAUAUUAUCCGCAUUUUACAACAUUUUGCAACGAAACUUUGGAAUAUUACUAAUUUUAUGAUGCUCUUUCAAGCUGUGAUGAAAUUUUUGUCUAGACUUGUUCAGUUCAAAAUUUUGGUUAAUUGGGGAACUACAACGGUCCAUUGAGAGGAUUCAACUACCUGAAAAUAGUGAAAAAUACAAGUAAAACUUCGACGUUUUGAGCAAAGAUCCUUCGUAGGAUUCACUAAGGCCAUAAAAAAUAUGUGGGUUUCCUAUUUCUUUAUAUUGUAAAAACUUAGGUAGGGUAGGUCGGUUUUAACUUUUUUAAAACUUUUUUUAAUACUAGUUUCCUAACAAGCGGACGCCAUUUUGUUUAGUCAGUGCUUCCACAUCCAAAGAUAGAUUUCCCGAAUAUUGCCUCAAAUUUCCAUUUGCCUCAACUGUUUUUCUCUAAGUGGAAACACUUACAAGCAUGAUCCAACUAAAAGUUUAGGGUCGGGAUUUCGGCGUCGAAAAGCUAGGUAGGGUCGGGAAACCGGAAACCCACAAAUUUGUUUUUGGCCUAACUUCUCGAAACGUCGAAGUUUUAGUAUUUUCAGGUAGUUGAAUCCCUUUCAAUCCGGCGCAGCUUCAUAAAUUUAUAGGUACAUGGAGUGAAGCAUCUGAAUGGGAGCUUUGUCUUUGAGUUUGCCAGUUGUCAGCCAAUAAAGGGAAAAUACCAAAUACAUGUUAAAUAUAGGUGUAACCCCAUUUGGAUCCAGUUAAAGUAGGUAUAGCUUUUUAAUUAGGUAUAAGGUUCAAAUAUGUUGAGUUUUUUAUGCAAUACUGAAACUGCAUGUAGCCAGUCAAUGUAGGUUUUAAGAUAUUAAUUUGGUUCAGUAAAAUGAAGAACAAUUAUCCAUUUUAUACGACGUUAAACUAAAAGCAAUAAAUAAGAUAAUUUUAUAAAAUUAUGUCAUAGUCGUUGCAUCAUGAUAUUUGUCCUAACCGUCAGGUUGCGUCCGAAGAUGAUCCACAUAACCUGAAGGACUGUCAGUUACCUAAAACUAAAAGCUUGACUAAAUUAAAAGUCCAGUGAAGAAAAGUUUAGUGCACUAAUAAAUAAAGAGUUACAAUCAUUGAGCAUAACAUAAAAGGCAAU